rnacentral:rRNA from 1 species
CUGAGAGGAUGACCAGCCACACUGGAACUGAGACACGGUCCAGACUCCUACGGGAGGCAGCAGUGGGGAAUAUUGCACAAUGGGCGCAAGCCUGAUGCAGCCAUGCCGCGUGUAUGAAGAAGGCCUUCGGGUUGUAAAGUACUUUCAGCGGGGAGGAAGGGAGUAAAGUUAAUACCUUUGCUCAUUGACGUUACCCGCAGAAGAAGCACCGGCUAACUCCGUGCCAGCAGCCGCGGUAAUACGGAGGGUGCAAGCGUUAAUCGGAAUUACUGGGCGUAAAGCGCACGCAGGCGGUUUGUUAAGUCAGAUGUGAAAUCCCCGGGCUCAACCUGGGAACUGCAUCUGAUACUGGCAAGCUUGAGUCUCGUAGAGGGGGGUAGAAUUCCAGGUGUAGCGGUGAAAUGCGUA